rnacentral:lncRNA from 1 species
AAAGAGCAUGAUGAAUGUUUUUAGUAUAAUGGUGUAAAUCCUUUUGAUUUGUUGCAUGAAAGACAUGUGGGAUCAUGUAGGAGAAAAAAAGGAUGGAGAAAAAUCUAGAACAGGUAAUUUUGAAAACAGAUUUAAUGUCAUGUUCAGUCCAGAUAGAUAAGAAGUUCCCUUCCCCAAAUAAAUCAGCGGGGGGCUCUUUACAUAUGAGUGAUUAUGAAUCCCUUUUACUUUUCAGUGUCUUCUGAGAAACCAUCAGGCUUGAAGGUAAUGAAACUGUCAUUUAUAUUGUGAACUAGUAAAUGUAUAGUCUAUGAAACAUACUUUAUUAAUUUAUUAUUUCAUUUCAAAUUCCAUUCAGGCUACAAGUGACGAGAAAGAUUCUGUUUUGAAUAUAGCCAGAGGAAAAAAGCAUGGAGAAAAAACUAGGAGAGGUAAUUUU